rnacentral:rRNA from 1 species
UACGUAGGGGGCAAGCGUUGUCCGGAUUCAUUGGGCGUAAAGAGCGUGUAGGCGGCCAGGUAGGUCGGUUGUGAAAACUGGAGGCUCAACCUUCAGAGGUCGACCGAAACCAUCUGGCUAGAGUCCGGGAGAGGAGAGUGGAAUUCCUGGUGUAGCGGUGAAAUGCGCAGAUAUCAGGAAGAACACCGAUUGCGAAGGCAGCUCGCUGGGACGUAACUGACGCUGAGACGCGAAAGCGUGGGGAGCAAACAGG